AUCAGAUCCAUGGCGCGAAAGAACUUCAUCGUGUCUUUUAAGACGUCACUAUUCGCUGCCAUCAGGGGUCUAACCCAGUCUCUCGCCCCCUUUUCAAGAUGCUCAAUCACGAAAGCCACUCGUGAUUCCUCGUCAGGGAAUUCAUCAAACUGCAGAUUGAGGGCAUAUUGCAUUUCUGUCCGAAAACCAUGAUAGUUUUUGGGCUCCCCCCCAAACUUCUGCACCAAUCCUGGUACCUUUCUGGCGAACUGGGUGGCUUUCCCCCUUUUGUCUGCAUCCUGAGCCCUCCUCUCCUCAAGCCUCGCCGUCUGCAUCGCUAGCUGGACCUCCAACAUCUGGUACCUUUCUUCCAGGCUUGGACCCGCUCCAGCUCCUGCUUCUCCGGUUCCGGCUGGGUUGCUCAUGAUACCUUCUCCUGCACAAGCUGCUUUCAAAGACUGUCGGAAUGCUGUGAUGGGAUGAUGAGCUGCUUGUGCGUAAAAUCGUAUCCCCUCAGAGUUUGUUCAAGUCCACAAACCUCUGUCUGUGACAGAGCCCCUCAGACAUGGCUACUCUAGUCACUAGCAGAUUCCGACAGUGGUUGCUUUCGUAAUCGCUUCCAACAUAAAAGCUCCUUAACGGAAACACGUCUUCUGGAAUCUCUGCGUGACAGUUUCCGGCGAGGAGUGGGUGUUCUUACAGGAGGUCCUGAAACCUCUCCACUGUUUUCGCUGGAAGUGUCUCUGAGCCAUCCCUCCAGCUCAGCUCCUCUCCCCCUGCUGGUUCCCUCAUCAGCUGCUGCGUCUCUCCCAACCUGUGUGAGCCCUUUCACCUCCCUGUUGGUUUCCUCUUCAGCUGCUGCGUCUCUCCCAGCCUGUGUGAGCCCUUUCACCUCCCUUCCGUCCGAUGGCAGUUCCCUGACA